rnacentral:lncRNA from 1 species
AACUAGCCCCAGAAGCUGAAGCACAUGUGACAACUGGAUUUGCCACUGGCCAAGCUGCACUCUUGUUCCUCCAAACAUUUGCCUGCCAAAACAUUUCCACAACACAAAUUUCAACAAAUCAUGAAAUCCCCACAAAACUUAGCAACUUUAGUCUCAGAAAAAAAUAAUUAAAUCUUUGAGCCAAACUCCCCAUACAUGAAAUCCCCACAACACUUAGCAACUUUAGUCCCAAAAAAAAUAAUUAAAUCUUUGAGCCAAACCCCCCAUAAAACCAAGAAUUCUCAAUUAGAAAGUUUCAAAACUUAAAUUCCAGAACCCCAAAACAGAAAAGAUCAAAACUUUACCAUUCAACCAAGAAAUGAACCAAAAAAAAAUCAAAAAGGAAAAGUUUCUUACC